rnacentral:rRNA from 1 species
GCGGAUGGGGCUAAACCGUAUGUGUGUGAUACCCGGCAGGGGGUUGCAUGUGCGGUGUUGUGGGGCCCCCUCCUUGUCAUGUCUGCCGGCAUGGCGCAGUGAGGUGCGGGGCAUAUAGACGAACAGUGUGGAUGCUGGACCGUAGAGGGUGAGAGUCCCGUAGUCGAAAAUGUGUUCCGCCGCUGUUGGGGGGGGUUGCCCCGAGUAGCACGGGGGCCCGAGGAAUCCCGUGUGAAUCUGCCAGGACCACCUGGUAAGCCUGAAUACUACCUGUUGACCGAUAGCGGAUCAGUACCGUGAGGGAAUGGUGAAAAGUACCCCCGGGAGGGGAGUGAAAUAGUACCUGAAACCAUGUGCCUACAAACCUUGGAGCCUU